GGGCCGGUAGUCUAGUGUGGUUAGGACAUCUCCGUACGGAGGCUGAGGUCGCCGGUUCAAGUCCGGCCCGGCCCACCA
rnacentral:tRNA from 1 species